rnacentral:rRNA from 1 species
GAUGAACGUUGGCGGCGUGCCUAAUACAUGCAAGUCGAACGAAGACUGUAGUAAUACUGUCUUAGUGGCGAACGGGUGAGUAACGCGUGGGUGACCUGCCCCGAAGUGUGGGAUAACAGUUCGAAAGGAUUGCUAAUACUGCAUAAUAUCCAAGAGAUUAGACGCUUUUGGAUUAAAGGAGUAAUUCGCUUCGGGAGGGGCCCGCGUCCCAUCAGCUAGUUGGUAAGGUAAUGGCUUACCAAGGCGAUGACGGGUAGGGGACCUGAGAGGGUGGCCCCCCACAAUGGAACUGAAACACGGUCCAUACACCUACGGGUGGCAGCAGUAGGGAAUAUUAGUAAUGGGCGAAAGCCUGAACUAGCAACGCCGCGUGUGCGAAGAAGGCCUUCGGUUGUAAAGCACUUUUUGAGAGGAUGAGGAAGGACGGUACUCUCAGAAUAAGUCUCGGCUAACUACGUG